UAGUACUUUUUCACUAGUCUAUAUAAUGGCAUGAGUUCUCCAAUAGUUGCUUGUUUAUGUGCGAAUGGCCUGUAUAAAGAUAUAACUAGAUAUGUCAAUAAAUAAUGUACAAAAUUUAGAGAGACCAACAAUAGAUACGCAAUUAACCAUUGCUACUGAUAAUUAUUAGCCAAUAAUCAUUAAAUAACCAUUCCAACUGUCAAUAAUAAAAACAUUCGACCAAUCUUAUAUAUAUAAUCUAAUAAGUUUUAUUUUGGAAAAAACAAAACAAAACAAACUUUAUUGAUAAAAUUAAAUUUAAGGAAUUAUUUUUAUCAGUAAAAAAUGUUUCCAUUCAUAAUCGUAUAAAAACUGGGUAUUACUAACGUAUUUGUAGAGUAUGAUUCCAGUAUGAGGGGGCAUUAAGGGGUUACAUAUACCUUCUUGGGGAGCAAGAGUAUAUGUGCACAAGGCCAGGCAACUUAUGAAUCAGAGGGGAACAACCAACAUCAGGCACACAUUCACGGAAACAAACCAUUGUGCAAACUACCUUGUUAGUUUGAGCAAGAAGAAUGAUCAGUUGAUUGUAUUUUUUGGUCCUUUUCGAGAGAACCUGGUGUAUUUUAUGAACCAGGAUGCCUUAGGCACUAUGUAUGAUUGAGUUUGAUUAUUUUUUC
rnacentral:lncRNA from 1 species